GACGAACGCUGGCGGCGUGCUUAACACAUGCAAGUCGAACGGAAAGGCCUUUUCGGAGGUACUCGAGUGGCGAACGGGUGAGUAACACGUGGGUGAUCUGCCCUGCACUCUGGGAUAAGCCUGGGAAACUGGGUCUAAUACCGGAUAGGACCGCACUUUAGUGUGUGUGGUGGAAAGUUUUUUCGGUGUAGGAUGAGCCCGCGGCCUAUCAGCUUGUUGGUGGGGUAAUGGCCUACCAAGGCGGCGACGGGUAGCCGGACUGAGAGGUUGGUCGGCCACAUUGGGACUGAGAUACGGCCCAGACUCCUACGGGAGGCAGCAGUGGGGAAUAUUGCACAAUGGGCGCAAGCCUGAUGCAGCGACGCCGCGGGGGGGAGGACGGCCUUCGGGUUGUAAACGCCUUUCGCCAGGGACGAAGCGUUUUGUGACGGUACCUGGAGAAGAAGCACCGGCUAACUACGUG
rnacentral:rRNA from 1 species